rnacentral:rRNA from 1 species
ACCUGAAAGUCUGGGAUAACAAUUCGAAAGGGCUACUAAUACCGGAUGACAUUGGUGCUGUAGAGGCAUCAAUCAAAGCGUUACGGAGCGCUUUCAGAUGAGCCCGCGUCCCAUUAGUUAGUGGGUAGGGUAACGGCCUACCAAGGCGACGAUGGGUAGCCGGUCUGAGAGGAUGGUCGGCCACACUGGAACUGAGACACGGUCCAGACUCCUACGGGAGGCAGCAGUGGGGAAUUUUGCGCAAUGGGGGCAACCCUGACGCAGCGACGCCGCGUGAGCGAAGAAGGCCUUCGGGUUGUAAAGCUCUGUUGAGGGGGAAGAUAGUGACGGUACCCCUUAAGCAAGCCCCGGCUAACUACGUGCCAGCAGCCGCGGUAAGACGUAGGGGGCGAGCGUUGUCCGGAAUUACUGGGCGUAAAGGGCGUGUAGGCGGCUUGUUAAGUCAGCUGUGAAAUUCCCCGGCUCAACUGGGGGCCUGCAGUUGAAACUAGCAAGCUUGAGUGCAGGAGAGGAAGGUGGAAUUCCCGGUGUAGCGGUGAAAUGCGUAGAUAUCUGAAGGAACACCAG